rnacentral:rRNA from 1 species
GACGAACCGUGCGAACGUUGUUCGGAAUCACUGGGCUUAAAGGGCGCGUAGGCGGGCAUUCAAGUCGGUGGUGAAAUCCUCCAGCCUAACUGGAGAAGAGCUGUCGAUACUGGAUGUCUCGAGGGGUGCAGGGGUCUGCGGAAUUCCUGGUGUAGCGGUGAAAUGCGCAGAUAUCAGGAAGAACACCUGCGGCGAAGGCGGGUUGCUGGGCUGAUACUGACGCUGAGGCGCGAAAGCUAGGGGAGCAAACGGG